CAGAAGAGCAAGACCAUUUCUACGACACUACUUGGUGCUUAGAGUUUAGCCCAUCGUACUCCACAAAGGAAGUGUCUCUUUUCAUUCUUCUGAUGGAGGAACUUAUUUUCAGGUUUGACACAGUCACGCCUCCCCCUGGACUCCGAAGCCUGUUGUGGAAACAGCCUAUCAUUCUCUUCCCGGAUUUCAUGUGAGCCAGUCUGAUCCCACACGUGGUGGAUGGAGACCCCGCAGGGCCCGAGGUGACCCCAAACGAACCCUCGCUUUCCCACGUGUUUCUGCUUCAAAGAGAUUGGUGCCCUCUGCCUUUGGAAGCCCCGGCAGACAGGUCUGGUUAUUUUCGGAACGAAUGCCUUCGAGGUGCUCAGCCCCUGCACAGUUUUUAUGGCGGCACCGACACAGAAGAAUCCUAUCUUAGAGUUUUUGCGCAAUUACUUGCAUUGUUUCUCAACACCUCCCACCUAGAACUCACUUCACCCUCGCAGCAACUCCACGGGGUUGGGGCUAGAAGUGC